GGGGUGGGGACGCUUCCCACUGAAUAAAUAGAAAUAGAGGAUUAAAUUCCACGGGUCCCAACAUGGGCUUCCUGGGCCAGUGUGGAAGGUGGGGCUUGGAGGGCAGAGAAGGCCCCCCGUUGCCAGGGGCUCUAAGGGCACUCAAAAGCCAUCAGGAGCUGGCCUCCCUGGGAAGAAACUGGCCUCCAGAUGGGCCCUGGGAGGAGGCUGGGGGGUUUGCUUAGGAUCCCGGACCAUGGCAGCUGAGUCCUCCAAUCCCUGCCCACUCAGAGUGCCGUCUACACGUGGCACCGCAACGGUUAUCGUUACGGCACAUGCUGAGUACCAAGUACUUCCUAUCCUUUUUAUUUUGAGGCAUCAUUAAUAUUCUAAGAUGUCCUUAAUUAAUUGAUUCAUUGAUUGCUUUUUACAGCUGCAUCUGUGGCAUAUGGAAGCGCCCAGGCUAGGGAUCCAGUUGGAGCUGAGGCUGCCAGCCUACGCCACAGCCACGAAGCCAGAUCCGGGCCACAUCUGGAACCUAUGUUGUAACUCGUGGCAACGCUGGAUCCUUAUCCCACUGAGCAGGGCAGGGGUUGAUCCUGCCUCCUCAUGGAUACUAGUCAGGGUCUUAACCCGCUGAGCCACAGCAGGAACCCCCAGAUAUCCUUAUUUCGCACGGGAAGAAACAGAAGCCCCGAGAGGCCAAGUGACGAAUCAGAGGUCACACAGCUCAUCAAUAGCAAGCCCAGAUCCUGCACCCUGAUCCGUCUUAUUUCAGGCCCCCUGCCCUCGGCUAUACACGGUUUUCUUCCAGCUCCAAAUUCCCUGCCCUCUCCUUGCUUUUCCAUCUUCCCAGCGCUCAGCCUCGUAUCUGGCACUGAGGGUGGAGGCCCGAUUCUGCCAGAUUAAGUAACAGCCGUGGUGAAACACAAAGGAUCCAUCUCCCCAUUUUGGACACAAGUAUUAGUGAGUGUUCCUCUGUUUUGACAUGUGGCUCCUCAAAGAAAGGUCCCCGUGGUCGGAGAGGAGCGGGUCUCUGCGUAUUACAGCCCUUCUUUGAGAACCACGAUGGGCUUUGGCAUGUACGAGGCACAGUGGACGACACCUGCUGUCCCCACUGUGUCCCUAGGGCCCAGCCCCAUGCCCAACACCAGAGGAGCCCACAAAUAUGUUAUGUGCUGAGUACAAGUGAGUGACUGAAUGACAACUGUACUGGAAACUUCCACUCGGUUUAAUGCAUACGUUAGUUGGCUCGGGCUGCCACAGCACAAACUCAUAAACCGGGUAGCUUAAACUUAACACUUCUGUUCCGAUAGUCCUGGGGGCUGGAAGCUCAAGAUCAAGGUGCUGGCAGGGUUGGUGUUUGGUAAGGGCUGACAGUCAGGUGGGGUGAGGGGCCACUGUGGGGGGGAUGAUGGAGUGAUGGAUAUUGAGGGGGACAAGCUCUUUCAUGCCUCUUCUUCCAAGGUCACUAACCGCAUUGUGAAGGCCCCACGUCCAUGUUCUAAUUCCCUCCCAACAGGGCAUGUGUCCGAAUGCCAUCAUGCUGGUCUUAGGACUGCAACAUGUGAAUUCUGGAGAGACCCAAAGCUGCAGUCUCUAACCCUUCGGUUAUAAAAGAUCCUGUUUUGUUUUGUUUUGUUUUUCUUGGAAACUGACAAGAAGGGGAGAGAAAGGGAGAGACAGAAAAAUGUUGAUAGAAGAUGGAAUGAGCUCAGCCUGGACGCCCAGGGCUGGACACAAAAUGAUGCGACAGGAUGGGCAUCUCCCGAUGGGGUGGGAGGCAGCAAAGACCCUGGUGGGAAGGAGAGAAGAUCAGUGAGUGCCCGUUAGAAGCGGAGUCCCACCGCCACCCUGUGGACAAGCCCGGGGAGUGAUGGCGGAUCCCUCUGCUGCAAACCUGGUGCCCUGGUGCCAACAUGUGGGCAGGGGACUUUUCAUUUCUCACAGCUGCUUCCCCGGGGAAGGGGGCAACCUGGGGCACCGCCCCUCUGAAAGUGCAUUGGAGCAAGAGGAACCUGGGUUUCAUCCCUCUGUGAACUUGAUGCAUCAGGGCCUGCUCUGUCCUCAUAGUUUAUCUGCGAAGUGACCCUCUCUGAGUUCCUUUCAACAGCGACAUAGGAGUCCAUGAUUCCGGAGGGAUCUGUGAGGCUCAGAGUCCAUCAGCCCGGAAGCCAAAAGGUCUGGCUCCAUGGAAGGAGGAACCCACGUGGCCUCCCCUUCCUUUCUCCAAAGCAGGAGCCCGACCCUGGCGAGCCCACAGCCUCAUGGCAGAGUCAGUUUGGAAUAUUUUUGUUCCAUUCAUGGGCCUCUAAUGGAAUCAAGACCAGUCUAUUUAUAUGUACAGAUGGUGCAAACUUUAGUGGAACAUCAAAUGCACCAGAUGUUGUCAGGACAGAGGAAAAUGAGUGAACUUGGCUGAUAGAAAUCAAAGAGCCCCCGGGACAAGAUGUCUUUCUGGACCCAAGAUGCACAGGACGCUGAACAGGCAGAUGAUAAGAAACGCCAGGAUGCCGGGCCCCUUGGAUUGAGGGUGGCUUCGGCAACCUGGGGAAGGGAGUCAGUCCGAGCUUGUUUUGCUGGGGGAGAAAAUGGAAUCCUUGUCUGUUCCCAUUGUUCCUUCUGAGCCCACGCAGGGGACCAAGCAGCAGGCGUUUCAUCUCCAAUUAUUUUCAGCCAAGGGAAAAAGCAGAUGGUAAAUAGCACUGAAAAAAAAAAAAAACUUUUUUAGAAUUAAUAUUAAUAAAAGAUGUGUUGGAGGCCCUGCCUGCAUUUUGGGGAACAAGGGCCCGCCUUGUGGGUGGUGUUUAGGGGGAUGAAGGUAGCAAGGGGCCAGGGCGGGGAGAGGUGACUGCAGCGAGAAAGCGACACAGGGGACUGAAGGUGCCAGAGGGCGGUGUGGGUGGCGGGGCACCCUUGGGAGCCCAGCAUCUGGCGGGGCUGGAGCCCUAAAGCCAUGAGGCGUCUGCCGAGGCCCUGAGCUCCGCAGAGGAGGAGGGCGGUGGGGGCCAGACAGCGGGCUGCCCAGUGCUCACAAGGAACACUGGCGCCACAGGGCCCCUCUUCCAGCCGGGUGUGGCCCAGAUGGCUCUUUCAUGCAGCUGCAGCGCACAGAGGGGGCUGGCGGGUGCCCUCACUUCCCCGGCCCACGCCGGCCACGAUCCUGGCCCCACUCGGCCAGUCCCAGUGUCCAUCUGUCAGCAAGUGCUAUCGGGUGUCCACUGGCUGCCCAGCUGUCCUCUGAGAGUUUGGAUUCCAUGUUCAAGCAGAGAAACCGAUCUGGCUCCUUCAGGAUUUGUAGGCGUCAUGGGAGGAAAGAGUGACAUGCAGUGGGUCCUGGGGGCAGAGGGCCAAAGGCAGGUUCCUGGGGGCACUCGUGUAUUCCACAAAAGUUUUGGAGCACUCGUUAGGUGCUUCCCAUGGUUCUAGGAAUGAAAUAGAUGAGGUCUCUGCCCUCCAGGAGCUUAUAGUCCAGCCCGAGGGAAGCAAUAGUCAAAUGCAUGCCUGCAUAUUUGUGAAUUAUUAUCAGGUUAAAUUAAUUCAUAGGAAAGGACAAAUGGUGACAAAUGCCUUAAAAGAGAGAAUGAGAAUGCCAGGAGAGCUACACGGAGUGAGUCUGUGUCGUGCUGAUUUACCAGAGUCCCAGAGGUGUCUCUGAGCUUCUUUCUCCCUUCGCCCCAGAGCUCUGGGAGGCGUGAGCUUGGAGAAGAAGCUGCAAAGAGAGUAUGUACAUAGGCAUUAACACUGAAAAAAAAAAAAAA
rnacentral:lncRNA from 1 species